rnacentral:rRNA from 1 species
AUUGAACGCUGGCGGCAUGCCUUACACAUGCAAGUCGAACGGUAACAGGUUAAGCUGACGAGUGGCGAACGGGUGAGUAAUGUAUCGGAACGUGCCCAGUCGUGGGGGAUAACCGCUCGAAAGAGCAGCUAAUACCGCAUACGACCUGAGGGUGAAAGCGGGGGAUCGCAAGACCUCGCGCGAUUGGAGCGGCCGAUAUCAGAUUAGGUAGUUGGUGAGGUAAAGGCUCACCAAGCCGACGACCUGUAGCUGGUCUGAGAGGACGACCAGCCACACUGGGACUGAGACACGGCCCAGACUCCUACGGGAGGCAGCAGUGGGGAAUUUUGGACAAUGGGCGCAAGCCUGAUCCAGCCAUGCCGCGUACGGGAAGAAGGCCUUCGGGUUGUAAACCGCUUUUGUCAGGGAAGGAAAGGUUCUGGCUAAUACCUGGGACUCAUGACGGUACCUGAAGAAUAAGCACCGGCUAACUACGUGCCAGUCGCCGCAGUAA